ACGGCGCUCAUAAAUCCUCUUAGUUAAUGACCCCGUCGCUCAGACAGUUAAAAUCGCGCAUAAAACGCGCCGUAAACGCGUCCGUCUCGAACACACCGCACACACCAUAUGAUAUGAUACGAUAUGACAUGACUCAUAUGCCUAGAAGAGGCCAAGAAUACAGGAGGGGCAGUAUAAGAAAGGAAGGGGCCCGGAGUUUCGCAAAAAGUCUCCCAAGAAGUAGCUGUUAAUAAUGAAUGAAUUUCGCAAAAGUCUAGUUUGAGUCACUCAGAAGUUGUACCAGUUCAUUUAGCGCCAGUUUAGGCUCAAAAUUGUGAUUCUUGUUUGUUUUGGCAUCUAUAUCCACUGUAAGAACUUAAGUUCUUAAGCUUGAAGUCUUAAAAUUGUCAUAACUGCGGUUUAAACUAAUCCCAGCUUUCACCAGUUAACUUAACACCAGAAAGUCGUUCUCAUCAAGCUAAUCUUGUGUUAGGUUUUCGUUGCUUAUAACAAUUUUAAUGAAACCGUUAAUCAUGGGUAUAUCUAGAAAGCCAACAAUUAUUUGUUUAUUUGCUCGUCUGUUAUUUUUGCAUAUUUCUGUGUGUGUUGUUUCGUUCAGAGAAAACGGAACUCGAUGAUAACUCUAUGUUCGGAGAGGGAACUUUUGCUGGAUUAUUGGGAAGCAGAGCUUAGGUAAUUGUUUAUUGUUCGUGACAAAUAUGCGGCCAUAUAUGUUGCGGCGGUGACUGCGGCUGAGACUAGUAAUGGAAAUGGAAAUGUAAGUGAGGACGGAGGAUUAGUAAUCGCCAAUACUUGCUAUAUUUAUGACUAAACGGACCCAGUUCACCGGGGCGCACAUUUUCCGGCGAUGAGUGUGGAUGAGUGAUAGAUCCCGAAUCGUGUCUAUAAUGGGGCAGUCCACGAUUCAACCAUUUCACCACAUAGGGCUACGCGUCGUGACUCCAUUUAGGGGGCACGAUGCGUAAUGCCAACUUUGGGUAGUCACCUCCCCAUCCCGGUACCACCGAUGAAUGGAUGAUUAAGUGCAACAGUAGCGAUAUUUUCUUUUUUUAUUGUUGUCGUCGGGCCCCCGAAUGCGUCAUCUGGUGAUUUGGGCUCAGAAGUGGGCCAAGUGGCAGACAACUGUCUGACAGCUGCGAUGCGUUGGGAUGGUAUCGAAUCGGAAGGCUAUACGGGUGUAUGGUGUUUCGGUGCAGUAUCUCCGUCUGGCCAGAGUGUGAUGACUGCCUGUCGCGCCGUUCUCGGUUCUUGUUCUCAAUGUCCGAUUGCCCAAUGCAUCAUUUUCACUUUUUCACUUGAUGAUUAAGCCCUGGAUCUUGGAUCUCGACUCUCUCAGUUGUCGGUUCUCGGUUCCCGGACCCUAGGGUCAACUUUAAAGUGUCCCCGGGGGCGCGAAACUCUCGCAACUCCUCUGAGUCAUGGCCAGAAACAGAAACGGCAACAGAAUCGGAAUCGAAAACAGAAACUGAAACUGAAAUAACCACCGAGAGAGUACGUGGAACAUGAUAUAUGAAUGAGAGUGCUUGUAAGUUCCACAGUAAUGGUCAGGAGAGUAGUAACACAGGAUCAUGGAGAUAAAUAAUGAAAAGGAUCAAGAAAUGAAUGUUCUGCAGUCUUCGAAAAACCUAAGAAAAUUUAAGGUAUUGGAAAAUUAGAAAGACUUUAGUAUUGUAAAUAGAUCAAGCUGUAUUCUCUCCUUUAAAAACUUCAUUUAAACUAAACCGAUACUAUUUUCAUGCUUCUAACUGUUUUUACCCCGGGGCAUGCUGUCAAGCAACAACAAGUAGUUUUGUUUAUUUUCAAAAUAUUUAAUUACUUUCGGAGACCGACUGUUUAUCAUUAAGAAUGCCCGCUUACUCAUGCGUGUUUCUGAUUCAGUCCGAGGCACUGACAGAGAGAAAGAGACGGGGAGAGUGUGAGUCUGAGUGCGGCAGGUGCCGCCAGGACACUUAAAUGGCGAUAAGACGCCGCUGAAUCAUUCGAAACAAAGAGAGAGGGAUGAGAGCCGAGCACAGAGGUGGAGAAGUGGGUGAGAGGGGCUCUCAACUUGACCUUCAACUUGGCGAAGCUCGACUUUGACGUGUCGAGUCAUGCGGAAACAACAAAAGCUCAAAAGGCAGCCUGGCCUGCACUUUGAAGUCGCCUUCAACUCAACGGAUGGAUCAGGGCUCUCCUCGAGUGAUUCAUAAAGAGCAUGCGCAGCGUCAGAAACAACAAAAACAAGCAACAAUCGCAAUGUUUCAUAAACAAAUUGCGCGCAAAAAAAAGUAAUCAGGAAAAUACAAAGUGCGCGGGCGCUAAAGUCUUCAAAAGGGAGGCAAUAAUGAAUAAGUACACUGGACAUUAUUUUGGCACCUUUUAAGAAAUACAAAAUUCAAUCAAGAGAAAAAAGUGAUAUUUUAACAUUGUCUAAAGAUACAAAUUUCUUCAGGUGUAUAAAGAAAAAGAAGGAAGUGUGGACGUGAGCGUGGUUCCCUGUAAAAUGAUUAAGUGCUUUAUAAUUUCUCAUUUCUCAUGCGCCCGGCACGAAAAAAGAAAAAAUAAAUAAAUAAAUACAAAAAAGAAACCGAAGUCGCAACGCAAAUUUCAAAUUCGAAAUUCCUGUGCGAAGAUUUUCAGUUUAUUUAGCUCGGUUGGUUUUUGCAUUUUAUAAAUAGCCGGCUGACGAAUAUUGAAAUUAUGUGCACGGGGGCCAACAAAAAUGUCACCUCGAGGUUUUUUGGUUCUUUCGGUUUUUGUUGUCUGCCAACGGAUUUUCGAUUACUCAUUAGUCGCAGGACUGUUCGAGUUUUCUCUCUUGCACAUACGUACACCUAUCUACACAGGUACAGCAGCGGUCAAAAUGAUAAAGGCGAAUUUUUGUAUAUAAAAAAAUAGAAACAUUUUAAAGGCAUACAUUUUUUUUAAUAUAUAAUUUUACUAAAUGAAAACGAAACGGAAUAACUAUUGUACAAAAUGCAAAUUUUUAAACAAAACGUGCUAACCUUCUAUUAUAUUAACCGCAUCUGUGCUUGCUAUAUAUUUGUACAUAUGCAUUCAUAGUUUUAUCUAAUCGGCCUUUCAACUGAAUGUGUGUACUAUAUAGAAUGGUAUCACCAAAUGUUCUCGAGGGGCCUCCGUUUUUCAGUUUACUUAGCUGCUUCUGUGCCUGUGUGUGCGCAACCCGUACCCGUACCGGUACCCCCAAACGUAACCCGUAACCGACGAGUAUAUUAUAUGCUCCCCGUAUAGAUUAAGUUAGUUUGUUAAAAAGGCCUUCUCCUCCGUAGCUGGCAGAUAAAAGCUGAUGGCCUGUUAACUGAUAACGUGAUAGCUUGGCGCACAAAUAAUAGGCUCUAUAUGGGUACAGUCAGCACAGACACCGAGGCGAUAACUUGACAAAUUGAUUAGGCGGCGCGCAAUUGAUAAGAAAGGAUCGAAAAAAACCGAGUUAGAUAGAUAGAGCCAUUACAGUGAAAGUUCAAAGAGGAGUUAUUCGAAAUAAAACCAGAAAAUUCCGUUUAUUUACCUUGGUGGUUAUUUUGUUGUUUCCUUGGCCUUAUUUAAACAGCGAGCAUAUUUGUUUAUGAUUAUGGCCUUCCUAAAUUAGGUAUUUAUUUCUCUUUUAAAUCCUACAAUUUUUAAAUGUUUACCAAAGCCAAAAUACAUUUUGGUCUUUUGGAUUUUUUAUCUUUGAAUGUUUAUUUUUAUACAUUUUAUAUUUUCAGUGGAGCCUUCAAGAACUUUAGUUAUUUAAUAGAUAAUCUCUUUUACUUAAAAAGUAUGUACAUGUACAUAGGUUUUUGGACUUAUUACUAAGUACUGAUGAUUUAUUUAUAUUUAUUUCUAUGCACUUAUUGAUAUCUUUUUUUUUUUAUUUUGAAGUGAAUCCAAGUGUGAUACCGUUCGAUUUCCUGACAAUUGAGUCUUUGAUUGCUUUCUAGGCCAAGUGGCUUUGGCCAGAGUUUAUCAUUCAUGUUAAUGACACAGCAUAAUGACAUUAGCAUUAUCCGACAACUACAACAACCUCGAACUCUGCCGCCGCCUAAUGAGCCUCUGCCGCUGCUGCGGCCUCUGCCGGCGUUGAGCUCAUUUCAAGCUUUGCUUCACAUAGCGGUGCUUCCUCCUUGCCCCCAUCCCUCUGCCACCCAACCCACCCGCUCACACAAAGUGCUGUUAUGAUGAAUGGAAACGAAACGCAGCGCAACACAACAAUGAGAAAUCAUAAGAAGAAGUAGCAUAAUACAGGCGAAAUAAAACAAUAAUAAUAGGCAUAAGGUGACGACGGCAAACCAAAAACGAAUGCGCAAAAGGCACAGCAAACACAAACCGAGAAAUGAAAUCAUGACUCAUGCACUCAGUACGAAAUACAUAUACUUUUCUCCUCCUCCGACUUUACUCCUCCUCUCCGUUACUCCGUGCCUGAGUACCCUGCCAACCAUUUGGCGAUUCUCGAAUCGCCGGUCGCCAGAAAGAGUCUUCUGGGAGUCGCUUUGGCGAUUGCUGGAGGACUUAUUUACGAAAAUCGCCAAGAAGAGUCUUCUGCGAGUCGCGGUGGCGAUCAUUGGUUAAAUAACUUUCGGGAAUCCCGAAGAAGAGUCUUCUGGGAAUCGCGGUGGCGAUUGCUGGAGGACUUAUUUACGAAAAUCCCCAAGAAGAGUCUCCUGGGAGUCGCGUUGGCGAUCACUGGUGAAAUAAUUUUUAGGAAUCCCGAAGAAGAGUCUUCUGGGAAUCGCGGUGGCGAUUGCUGGAGGACUUACUUACGAAAAUCCCCAAGAAGAGUCUUCUGAGAGUCGUGGUGGCGAUUAUUUGGCGACUCUUAAAGCAGCGUUAAAAACUAGGAAAUGAAGGAAUCAGGGAUUAAAGUACCGUACAUAGAUGCAAAGCAGAGAAUGCGUCCAAAAGCAAAAGAGUUUUACAAAAACAAAUUGCAUUACAUUUGAGUGAGAAUAGGAGUGCCAACCGAACGUCUUUCAAUAUUUCUAUGUUCAUUUAGUUUGACUUCGUUCUUUUGUCUUUACGGUCGAUCUGUAUUUUAAUUCUUCGGUUAACGAUUUUUGUUUUAUUAAUUUGUUUUUGUUUUAUAUUAUUUUCAACUAAAAUGAGUUCAUCAUCGAGGCAAUUGAAUAUCGUAGUAAUCGCGAAGCAAAGCGAUCCCAAAAACGUUUUAAAUUUAAUGAAACUUCCGAAACAGGACAACAAGAAACAUGUAAAACAAAUGAAAUAAGUGAAAGAAGUGAAACAAAUAUUAAAACUUUUGUUAUUAGUUGUGCAGAAAAUUAUAGCGUUGAAAGCUAUGAUUCAUUGGCACCCUUACUAUCUGACGAAGAGACGAUGGAAUAAGUGAAAAACAAACUGCAACAAAUAUGUGGGAGCGAUGUGCGAACAUUUGUACGGAACUCAUUAAAGUUAUACUAAGGUGUUGGUUAACGAAAGUUCCCGAAUUCUUACGAACAAGAUAUGAACAAAAUUUAUCAGCAACCCCUGGUUGGAAACAAAAUAAAUAUGUUAAAUUUAAGAUGAUGUAAAUGUAAUA